UCCUCCACCCUGCUGCCCCCGACUCCCGGGGCCCUGGAGGGGACAGCACUGCCCGCCUCCCAGCCUUCCUUGCUGCUGCUCCUGCUGCUGCUGCCCGCUGCCCUCCUGCUGCUGCUGGCCACUGCCUGGUACCUACGCUGGCAGAGGCUGGCAAGGGCACUGCCCCACCCUGCGGAGCAGCUGCCCCCUGCCCCCCGCCCUCAGGAUACACUGCUGCAGGAGCGAUGACCUGGCCACAGCCUCAUCUUGGCAAAGGCACUGGGGCCCAGCAAGAGGAGAAACCUGCCAGAGGACACACUGCCAGGACACAAAGGAAGCUGGCUGCAGGCUGGUCUUUUCCCUGGCUGGGCUGCCCACACUGCCCGUCCCCCCAACAUGGACAAAAUGUCCCAACCCAGCCCUCACCCUCCUUCCCCACCUCUGUACAAAGCCCUUGUCUCAAUGAACUUGUAUAUAAAUCAUUAUUUUCUA